rnacentral:rRNA from 1 species
UACGUAGGGGGCAAGCGUUGUCCGGAAUCAUUGGGCGUAAAGCGCGUGUAGGCGGUCCGGUAAGUCCGCUGUGAAAGUCGGGGGCUCAACCCUCGGAUGCCGGUGGAUACUGUCGGGCUUGAGUACGGAAGAGGCGAGUGGAAUUCCUGGUGUAGCGGUGAAAUGCGAAGAUAUCAGGAGGAACACCAAUUGCGAAGGCAGCUCGCUGGGACGUUACUGACGCUGGGACGCGAAAGCGUGGGGAGCAAACAGG